GUGUGUGUUAGUGGAAGCGUCUGGAAAGGCGCGCGAUACAGGGUGACAGCCCCGUACACAAAAAUGCACAUAUUGUGAGCUCGAUGAGUAGGGCGGGACACGUGGUAUCCUGUCUGAAUAUGGGGGGACCAUCCUCCAAGGCUAAAUACUCCUGACUGACCGAUAGUGAACCAGUACCGUGAGGGAAAGGCGAAAAGAACCCCGGCGAGGGGAGUGAAAAAGAACCUGAAACCGUGUACGUACAAGCAGUGGGAGCCUCUUAAUGGGGUGACUGCGUACCUUUUGUAUAAUGGGUCAGCGACUUAUAUUCUGUAGCAAGGUUAACCGAAUAGGGGAGCCGAAGGGAAACCGAGUCUUAACUGGGCGUUAAGUUGCAGGGUAUAGACCCGAAACCCGGUGAUCUAGCCAUGGGCAGGUUGAAGGUUGGGUAACACUAACUGGAGGACCGAACCGACUAAUGUUGAAAAAUUAGCGGAUGACUUGUGGCUGGGGGUGAAAGGCCAAUCAAACCGGGAGAUAGCUGGUUCUCCCCGAAAGCUAUUUAGGUAGCGCCUCGUGAAUUCAUCUCCGGGGGUAGAGCACUGUUUCGGCAAGGGGGUCAUCCCGACUUACCAACCCGAUGCAAACUGCGAAUACCGGAGAAUGUUAUCACGGGAGACACACGGCGGGUGCUAACGUCCGUCGUGAAGAGGGAAACAACCCAGACCGCCAGCUAAGGUCCCAAAGUCAUGGUUA
rnacentral:rRNA from 1 species